rnacentral:lncRNA from 1 species
AGAUUUGAAGAAAAGAAUUGUAAAACAGGUAUAUAAUUUGAUUACAAUUUGAAUUUCAGCAUAUAGGAUAGAUCCAUGUGGUUUGAUAUUUUCAUGCAUGCAUAAUUUAGAUUAAAAGUAUGUUGAUCUUGUUCUUCACUGUGGUAUUUAAAAAAUAAAAUUUUUAAAAAUAUAUGUAUACACCAAACUCCAAAUUCCAACAUCCACAUUAUGC